rnacentral:rRNA from 1 species
GACGAAGGUGGCGAGCGUUGUUCGGAAUCACUGGGCAUAAAGCGCACGUAGGCGGCGACGUAAGUUGGGUGUGAAAUCCCCCGGCCCAACCGGGGAACUGCGCCCAGUACUGCGUUGCUUGAGGAUCCAAGGGGUGCAUGGAAUUCCCGGUGGAGCGGUGAAGUGCGUUGAUAUCGGGAGGAACUCCGGCGGCGAAAGCGGUGCACUGGUGGAUUACUGACGCUGAGGUGCGAAAGCCAGGGGAGCAAACGGG